rnacentral:rRNA from 1 species
AUCGAACGCUGGCGGCAGGCCUAACACAUGCAAGUCGAGCGGAGCUGCGGACGGGCGAGUAAUUCCUACGAAUCUGCCUGGUAGUGCUGUAUAACGUCCGGAUACGGGCGCUAAUCUCGUACAUUAUCAGAUGAGCCUUGGUCGGGUUGGCUAUCUGGUGGGGUGAAGGCUUACCGAGUCGACGAUCCGUAACUGGUCUGAGAGGAUGAUCAGUCACACUGGAACUGGGACACGGGCCAGACCCCUACGGGAGGCAGCAGUGGGGAAUGUUGGACAAUGGGCGAAGGCCUGAUGCAGCCAGGACGCGUGUGUGAAGAAGGUCUUCGGAUUGUAGGGCGCAUUAAGUUGGGAGGCGUUACCAGCAGAAUAAGCACCGGCUAACUACGUGCCAGCAGCCGCGGUAAUAC